rnacentral:rRNA from 1 species
UACGUAGGGUGCGAGCGUUGUCCGGAAUUAUUGGGCGUAAAGAGCUCGUAGGCGGCUUGUCGCGUCGGAUGUGAAAGCCCGGGGCUUAACUCCGGGUCUGCAUUCGAUACGGGCAGGCUAGAGUUCGGUAGGGGAGAUCGGAAUUCCUGGUGUAGCGGUGAAAUGCGCAGAUAUCAGGAGGAACACCGGUGGCGAAGGCGGUUCUCUGGGCCUUACCUGACGCUGAGGAGCGAAAGCAUGGGGAGCAAACAGG